UUUUUUUUUUUUUUUUUUUUUUUAGUUCUAAAAGUAACCUCUUAGGGAGUUCCCUGGUGGUCUCGUGGUUAGGAUUCAGUGCUUUCACUGCUGUGGCCCGGGUUCAGUCCCUGGUCGGGGAACUGAGAUCCUACAUCAAGCCACUGCGCACCAAGGCCAAAAAUAAAAGUGAAGAAUAAAAUAAAAAUAACUUCUUAGGAGUGAGGAUCUUGUAUGAAGGCCAGCCCCCACGUUUGUGAGCAGCGCGUGCCGUCCUGGGCCUUGGCGUGGCUCCCGAGGCUGCGAUGCCCUACUGGUUACGGAGAAAGUGAUCACUCACGACAGUCAGGCCAGGCUCUUACUUGCUGUACUUUGUGGUAGUUAUCACAAACAAACAUCCCCAUGACAUCCUGUUGAGGUCAAAUCUGAUAAAAUUAUAGAUUGAGACGCUCUGAGACUGUAUCGUUUUUCAAACACAAUAAAUUACUUACAAUUCCAGAGUCUGAAUCAAAUGUCUUUGUUACAUCACUGCAUAAAAAAUAAAGUGAUGGGAGUUCCCAUUGUGUCUACGAACACAGCAUAGUGUCCAUGGUAUCCAUGAUUCGAUCCCGGGCCUUGAUCAGUGGGUCAGGGAUCCAGCAUUGCUGCGAGCUGUGGUGUAGGCCAGUGGCUACAGUUCCGAUUCGACCCCCCCGCCUGGGAAACUCCAUAUGCUGUGGGUGCGGCCCUAAAAAAAUAAAUAAAUAAAUAAAUUAAAUAAAGUGAUAACAUUGAUUCUUUCAGGCUUAACUUAUCAAGCCAUGCAAGUGGAACACACUUUGUAAUUUUUAUUCCCACUGUUUGAAAGACACAUUCUUUUUUUUUUUUUUCUGCUUUUUAGGGCCACACCCGUGACAUAUGGAGGUUCCCAGGCUAGGGGUCCAAUUGGAGCUGUAGCUGCUGGCCUACACCACAGCCCCAGCAAUGCUGGAUCCAUAACCCACUGAGUAAGGCCAGGGAUCGAACCUGCAUCCUCAUGGGUCCUAGUUGGAUUCAUUUCCUCUGCGCACGAUGGGACCUCCUGAACCAAAUGGUUUCUAACGGCCAAGGGGUAGGUUAGGCAGUGUGCAGUAGCACAGAUCGCAUUGGCUAAGAGUUUUUAUAAAUAGGAAAGACUCUGAAGUUCAAUAGAAAAAUGAGCCCAGUGUGUAAACUGUUCUCAGAAAGUACACAAAGAUGGAGUUCCCAUUGCAGCUCAGUAGAAACAAUCAAACAAUCCAUGAGGUUGGGGGUUCAAUCCCUGACCUUGCUCGGUGGGUUAAGGAUUCGGCAUUGCCCUGAGCUGUGGUGUAGGUCACAGACACGGCUUGGAUCCUGUGUUGCUGUGGCUGUGGUGUAGGCCAGCAGCCGUAGCUCCAAUUCGACCCCUCGCCUGGGAACCUCCAUGUGCCUCGGGUGCAGCCCUAAAAAGCGGGGAAAGAAAGAGAGAGACAGACAGACAGAAAGAAAGAAAGGAAAAGAGAUAAAGAAAAGAACACUAAUAACAAAAAAUAGUUGAAAAUGGUCGGCCUAAGAGUUCCUGCUAUAGGAGUUUCCACUGUGGCUCAGUGGGUUAAGAGCCCGACUGGUAUCUAUGAGGAUGUGGGUUCACUCCCUGGCCAGCUCAGUGGGUUAAGGGUCCGGUGUGGCCACAGCUGCGGCAUGGGUGCAGAGGCUGCUCGGAUUUAAUCCCAGGCCCAGGAACUUCCAUAUGCCACUGGAACAGCCAAAAAUAAAUAAAUAAAUAAAGAUCAGCGUAACUAGUAAUCUAGAAACACAAGUUAAAAUAACGUGGAAUGUCAUUUUUGGUCAGUUAAAGGCAAUGAGCAACGCUGGGGAGGGUGGGAUGAACUUCUCAGGCAGGUAGUAGAAGGGAAAGUCGGGGCGCGUGUGAGCAGCGCUUUGGAAAUCCAUUUCUAGAUCCUUCAAAUCCAUUCCUUCUGUGGGGGGGCGGGGGCUGCACCUGUGGCGUGCAGAAAUUCCCAGACAUGGGGUCGAGCCUGUGCCAGAGCCGUGACGCACGCCGCAGACAGCAGUGACACUGCCAGUCCUUAACCACUAGGCCACCAGGGUACUCCAAAAGCCAUAUCCUUUGAGGUACGCAUUCCCCUUCUAGGACUAUCUCCAAAAAAAAGUUUUUCAUUAUAGAAAAUUACAUAUUAAAUGAUGGAGUUAUUAUUUAUAAUAGCAAAUAUAACUCAAAAUAACCUCAUUAUUUAAAGAUAGAAAAUUGGAUACAUAACUUAUGCAGCCAUUUAAAAUGAUGUUUUUCAGUUUUUUUGCUUUUGAUGGUUCCCCAGGUAUCUGCCAUCUGCCUGACACCUAGAGGCUGCUUCUCUAAAUGUACCAUGAGCAAUGUAGCCAAACUCCUAUUGGGGACAUUUAGGUUGUUUCCAAGUUGUUUUCCAUUUUGGGCAGCACACAAGCGAGACUAUAUGUGCACACUCAGCUGCACACUCAAGGCCAAGAAACGUCUUGAAUGAUGGCAGCAAAUGCAGAUCCUAAUCUUGGGAUCUCCCGCAGAGCUGCCGAGUGUCCAAGCCCGUCCCACAGGCUUGGCAAGAGCCACGGCCCCUCGUGUGUUCCUUCCAGGCCUGGAAGGAAUGCUCCGUCACUCGGGAUCACACCUCCCAGGACCUCAUGUUUGUAUCAGAACGUUCAUGCUUGCCUUCCCUGAAGGCUCUGCAAGCACACCCAGAAACUGCUUGGGGACGAGCUUCCUUGCUCCUGGGAAGAAGAAGAAACCCCUCCGAGGUGUGUGCGGGCAGCAGGGCUGCAGGAAAUGAGGAGUAAACAGGCUUUUUGUCUGGGAAUGGGAGCGCGCCAAGGAGAGCCGAAGAUGCGAAGGGAAGCAGGCAAACGUGGGCACCUGAGGGGGCCCGGGCAGGACCCCGCAUUCAUCCCCUUGUACAUCUGUGUGCAUUUCCCUCGGAGUGUUCCUCCACCAGCCCUGCUCAAAAUAACCUGAACCCAAGACCAGGGAGAGGCAGUAGGUUAACGCUGUGAGGGGUUUGUUUUGCUGUGCUUUGCUUUAACAGAAGAACCAAAGUGACAGCAGGAGCCCGGAGUUUAGGACUCUGGUUGCAAGUCAGCAAAACCAACCCAACUAGAGACAGGCUGGAAGGGGAACGUCCACACCGGUUUAGACGCAAUCAUGGGAGCGAAGCUUUGCAGGAAGAGAACUAGCCUCCUUUUGCGUGUCUGAGUCUGCCGCGGGCAGAGGAGGGGCAGCCCCUUCUGGGAGGGGGGCUCGUGAGCCACGGGGUCAGCAGAGUCUGAGACAUGCGCGUUCCCCGUGUGGCCCCAGUCCAUGCCACAGGGUCCCGGUCUUUGCUGGUGGGAGUCCUAAUGCUCGGGUGAGAACAGCGUGACCAGCUGCCGGGCGUUUGUGAUGGGACCAGCACAGAGGCUGCAGUCAGCGGAGGUCACACUCAGCGUUGUGAGAAACGUCCUGGUUCUUCGAAAAUGCUGUCAGCCACAAUUUAAGACUUUGAAUUUGGAGUCUCUUUCUGCUUUGUCUCCAGUGUAUUUAAAAGCAACCGUGCAGAGUUCCCUGGUGGUGCAGCGGGUGAAGGAUCCAGCAUUGUCACUGCAGUGGCUCAGGUCACUGCUGUGGCCCGGGUUCAGUCCCUGGCCUGGGAACUUCCACAUGCAGAGAGUGCGCCCCCCACCCCAACAUCUCCCCAAAGAAGCAGCCGUACAGCACCGCAGAGUUUGACCUUCUUGUUCCUGUACGUUGUUCCCUGGCCACGGCCACCGAUCCCCCAGUGCCUUGCCUUCCGUGGAUGUCGUUCCCAUCAGCCACAGAGCAGCCACGGAAUCGACAGUUUUGCCACGGAUGCCAUGGCUGCUGGGGCCCCAGCUGUAACACUUGAUGCCUUUUCAAUGUCCUUGGACCCACUCAUCAGAUAACAAACCUUGGCCCCCCAUUUUCUCAAAAGCCUGUCGACCUCCCACCGAUCCCAGUACCAGUAUACCAAAAGCGAAAAAUAAAACAGAAUCCACCAUGGCUAAGUUAAGCAGAACAGGAUUUCCCACAGAAAGCAGGUGACUCACAAGGUCCCUGAGAGGUCCAGAGGAAUGGGCGUGAGGCGGAGCUUCCUGGAGCAACUCUCAAAGCCAUCUGCCAGCCACAGCCUCUCUGGAGCCUCAAGCGCUGGGAACCCCUCUCCACCGCAGGCGUAACUGCUUCCAACACAGAAGCCACAUCCGAAUCUGGACUCACUUGCGCCACCAGCAUCAGCAAAGCAAGUCCCCAGCGAGGACCUAUUUCAUCAGCUGGUCCCUGUCAAGGCAAAGCCUAGCGUUGGGGCACCUGGAGGACACAGCCUGUCCACGUUCCUGACCCGGAAAAUAGGAAACUGGGUUCUGACUCUGGGAAGAGAGGCACGUUUUAUAGUGUGGGAGGUUGUCACAUGUAGGGAGACAGUCAAAGAACGGCACCCAGCUCCCCAUGUGACGAAUGUGCACUACCAGGACGGACCCGGAAUGGCUCUUGUCAGCUCUCUGGGCUCAGGUACACACAGGUUGUGUUGUCCUCUAGAAGGUGGGAAGUCCCUCGAGGUCCUGGCUGUAAGGUAGGCACUUGACCUCCCUACCCGAGAGGCAGACCUCAUCCGUACAUCAGAAAUCUUAAUUAGGAGUACCCGUCGUGGCGCAGUGGUUAACAAAUCCAACUAGAAACCACGAGGUUUCGGGUUCGAUCCCUGGCCUUGCUCAGUGGGUGAAGGAUCUGGCGUUGCCGUGAGCUGUGGUGUAGGUCACAUUGCUGUGGAUCCCACAUUGCUGUGGCUCUGGCGUAGGCUGAUGGCUACAGCUCCGAUUAAAACCCCUAGCCUGGGAACCUCCAUAUGCCGUGGGUACAGCCCUAGAAAAAGGCAAAAAGACAAAAAGAAAAAAAAAAAAGAAAUCUUAAUUAGAUCAGGUCCAAAGUGCCAAGGUUCUACUAUGGUACACUAACUGUAAAUCCAUGAUAUUGUCAUUCUGAAUGGAAGGGACAUCAAGCCACUGUAUUUGCACCUGUCACUGUCCCUAGAACCGUGCAGUUUGUCCAAGAGC
ensembl:lncRNA